UACGUAGGGCGCAAGCGUUAUCCGGAAUUAUUGGGCGUAAAGAGCUCGUAGGCGGUUUGUUGCGUCGGCUGUGAAAUCCCGAGGCUCAACCUCGGGUCUGCAGUCGAUACGAGCAAACUAGAGUGUUGCAGGGGAGAUUGGAAUUCCUGGUGUAGCGGUGAAAUGCGCAGAUAUCAGGAGGAACACCAACAGCGAAGGCAGAUCUCUGGGACGUAACUGACGCUGAGACGCGAAAGCGUGGGGAGCAAACAGG
rnacentral:rRNA from 1 species